rnacentral:rRNA from 1 species
GAUGAACGCUGACAGAAUGCUUAACACAUGCAAGUCAAAUUGUGGCGGCCGGGAGAGUAACGCGUAAAGAACUUGCUUCACAGCUAGGGACAAGAUUUGGAAACGAAAGCUAAAACAUGAUACUGUGAGAGCUCUUUGCGUACCAUUAGCUAGUUGGAGAUGUAACGGCUCACCAAGGCGAUGAUGGGUAGCCGGCCUGAGAGGGUGAUAGGCCACAAGGGGCCUGAGACACGGCCCGUACUCAUACGGGAGGCAGCAGUGGGGAAUAUUGGACAAUGGACCAAAGUCUGAUCCAGCAAUUCUGUGUGCACGAUGAAUUUUUCGGAAUGUAAAGUGCUUUCAGUUGGGAAGCGGUACCAACAGAAGAAGUGACGGCUAAAUACGUGCCAGCAGCCGCGGUAAUAC